rnacentral:rRNA from 1 species
GGGGGGGGGGGGGGGGGGGGGGGACGGGUGGGGGGCGGGGGGGGGGGCGCUGCUUGCAGGGUACUCGGGUGGCGAACGGGUGAGUCACACGUGGGUGAUCUGCCCUGCACUUCGGGAUAAGCCUGGGAAACUGGGUCUAAUACCGGACAGGAGCCAUUUUUCGUGUGAUGGUUGGAAAGUUUUGUCGGUGUAGGAUGAGCUCGCGGCCUAUCAGCGUGUUGGUGGGGGAAUGGCCUACCAAGGCGGCGACGGGUAGCCGGCCUGAGAGGGUGUACGGCCACAUUGGGACUGAAAUACGGCCCAGACUCCUGCGGGAGGCAGCAGUGGGGAAUAUUGCACAAUGGGCGCAAGCCUGAUGCAGCGACGCCGCGUGGGGGAUGACGGCCUUCGGGUUGUAAACUCCUUUCGCUAGGGACGAAGCUUUUUGUGACGGUACCUAGAUAAGAAGCACCGGCUAACUACGUG